GAACCACUUAUAUGGUGGUGUCACAAAAUCGGAGGCCACGACUGUUUACUAAAAACACAAUUCAGAGCAAUGAUGAAAAUCAUAGUAUUCUGGAUGAAAUUUGCCCGAUGCCAUUAACAUAAAAGAGGUAAUGGGAAACUGUUACUAAUUGAAAGUCUGGUUAAUAGCGGUCUUAACUAUGAGGAUCCUAAGGUAGCAAAAUCAGUUGGCCAUUAAAUGUGGUCUGGUAUCAAUAGUGUAACGAUGGUCUCACUGUCUCUACAACUUGCUCAGUGAAAUUGAAUUAUCCGUGCAGAUGCGGAUUGCCUCCAGGUGGACGGGAAGACCCUAUG
rnacentral:rRNA from 1 species